AGGUAUAUAUCUCUCAGCUUUAGCUAGCUUGCUCUCUCUUUACCUAUUCAAUCUGCAAGUUUGUAUGUUUCUGUUUCUAGAUUUCAUUGUGUUUGGGUUUUGAUUGUUAACAGGAGAAGGCUAGCACCAUGAUGGACAAGGCAGGAAAUGCUGUACAGUCUGCCAAGGAGUCGUUGCCGAAUGCUGGCCCAACGAACUCACAGAAGGCAAGCUACCAGACUGGAGAGGCCAAGGGCCAAACUCAGGUAUAUAUCUCUCAGCCUUAGCUAGUUUGCUCUCUCUUUACCUAUUCAAUCUGCAAGUUUGUAUGUUUCUGUUUCUAGAUCUCAUUGUGUUUGGGUUUUGAUUGUUAACAGGAGAAGGCCAACACCAUGAUGGGCAAGGCAGGAAAUGCUGCACAGUCUGCCAAGGAGACGAUGCUGAAUGCUGGCCAAACGAUUCAGCAAAAGGCUGCAGGAGCUGCUGAUGCUGUCAAGAAUGCUACCGGCAUGAACAAGUGAUUGAGCUAGCUGCUGCUGAUAUGGUGGCCGCUAUGGAUAUUUUUAAGCGUUUUUAGUCUUUGUUUAUAAAGAAGAGAAUCUCUAGUCCUCUUAGAUCAAGCUCUAGAGUUCUCAUCGUUUGGUGUGUGUUAUUUAACACACCUACGUUAAUUUGGUUCUUUGUUAAUGUUGUGUUGUUGUUCUCUUUUCUCCAAUUUGCGACAAGGAAGAGAUCGUUCUAUGUGAUCUGUUGUAGUUCUCACCUGAUGUAAUGAUAAGGUUUAUAACGAAAAAUUUCGAAAAUUGUUCCUAAAUUGGUCAUAUUCCCCCAGUACCACUUUUAUAUCACUUGGAUAAUAUCUCCUGGAAUCGUAACAUGGACUUUGUCUCGGUUGCCUAUAUCUUAAAAUCGUAGAAUUGCAGGAGUAAUCUGUUAUAUAUUUCAGAAAAGCAGCAAGCUAGGUGCUGAAUCUGAGCCAACUUUUACUCGAAUUUUGAUGUCAUAAUUAAUACUUCAAUAUCCACAUUUCAAACGUUGAUCCUUAUUGAGUUAUUGAUACACAAUGGCCAAAUUAUGGUCACAAAGGCCAAAGGUCCUAGCUAUCAUAUUAACCUAGUAUAAAUGUCACAGUGACUAGCUAGUACAUGAAUUUGGGUCACAUAUCCUUGAGAUCUUCGGCAUGAGAAAUAACAGUAGUAUUUUGUAGGUGCUAGUUAUGGGCAUUGAAUGUCCUUAACUAGCGUCUACUUUGUUUACUACUCGGAUUUCAAACAACCCUGUCGAAAUAGAGAAUGCUUCCUUAUCAAUCACGGAAUAUCGACCAAAAUAUAAUAGUACGUGGACUGACGUGGAUCACGGAAUAUCGACCAAAAUAUCAUGUACGUGGAUUUUCAUAACAUUAAUCGAUUAAUAUUCCAAAAAAAUCCACCCUAUUGGGUUUACGGUUAGAAUUUGGUUCCUCUGUUUAGAUUUAUGUUAUUUAGAUUUGUUUGGAUGAUUUCUAACUAUUAAAUAAAAUAUAAUCUAAAAAUAUCAUGUCAUCCGUAUAUCAUCUUUACUUCAUCUAAUGGUUAUAUAACAUCCAAGUAAAUUCAAACGGAAAAUCCAGAUCCAGUUGGAAUUGGAUCAAGGAGAAGGAUCAUCAUCAACAUCGAUCUAUAUAUCCAGUUGGAAUUUGGUAGAUGGGAAAUUAUUAUUUGUACCCGGAACACCACCUGUUUUAUGUUCCCAUUUAAUCUCAUUGGUCCACGUGUUUUAUCCUUAUUCCCGAUUGUUGUAUUUAAUUACUUUUUUUUUUUCACCAUGUGCUGGUCCCCACAUGAAUAUGAGUUAUAUAAUUGACCGGGUACAACACUUGGCAGUGCCACGUGGUGUUCCGGUACAGAGAAUAAUUACUCUUGGUAGAUAACUUUGGGAAACGUAUGGUCUAACGAUCAACUACCAAAUAAUAGAGGAACACGUGUCCCCUCGAAAAGAUAGCAGCAUGCAACACCUGCCUUUUGCCUCCACGUAGCACAACUCGUGUCGUGCAUUCAGCUGGUUCAGAGCAUUAUAUAAUCCCUUACCCAGUAGGCAGGUAUUCAUCAAAAUCAGAUCAAGUUCCAGAUCUAAACAAACUACAGUUAAAUAUCUCAAGGUUUCUGCGUUUCCAAGAAAGCAAGAAGAAAAUGGAUAACUCACAGAAGGCAAGCUACAACGCUGGAGUGGCCAAGGGCCAAACUCAGGAAUAUAUCUCUCAGCCUUAGCUAGCUUGCUCUCUCUUUACCUAUUCAAUCUGCAAGUUUGUAUGUUUCUGUUUCUAGAUCUCAUUGUGUUUGGGUUUUGAUUGUUAACAGGAGAAGGCCAGCACCAUGAUGGACAAGGCAGGGAAUGCUGCACAGACCGCCAAGGAGUCGGUGCAGAAUGCUGGCCAAACGAUUGCUGCAGGAGCUGCAGGAGCUGUUGAUGCUGUCAAGAAUGCUACCGGCAUGAACAAGUGAUUGAGCUAGCUGCUGAUAUGGUGGCCGCUAUGGAUAUUUUUAAGCGUUUUUAGUCUUUGUUUAUAAAGAAGAGAAGCUCUAGUCCUCUUAGAUCGAGCUCUAGAGUUCUCAUAAUUUGGUGUGUGUUAUUUCACACACCUACUUUAAUUUGGUUCUUUGUUAAUGUUGUGUUGUUGUUCUCCUUCCUCCCAUUUGCGAUAAGGAAGAGAUCGUUCUGUCUGUUGUAGUUCUCACCUUAUGUAAUGAUAAGGUUUAUAACGAAAAAUUUCGAAAAAUUGUUGGCCAGAUACAAACGAGGUUGCUACGAUGAACAUCUACCUCCAGGAAUCGUAAUAGCUAGUUACUUGUUGCAUAGAAAAAUAGUCAUAAUAGUCUACUGAAGAUGACAAUUGGUAUAUGAAUCACGUACAUGAACAUCAGAAGCUAGCAGUUACAGUGAUGAAUCUAAGCAAUUCUUACCCGGGUGAUAAA
rnacentral:lncRNA from 1 species